UACGAAGGGGGCUAGCGUUGCUCGGAAUCACUGGGCGUAAAGCGCACGUAGGCGGAUCUUUAAGUCAGGGGUGAAAUCCUGGAGCUCAACUCCAGAACUGCCCUUGAUACUGGGGAUCUUGAGUCCGGAAGAGGUGAGUGGAACUCCGAGUGUAGAGGUGAAAUUCGUAGAUAUUCGCAGGAACACCAGUGGCGAAGGCGGCUCACUGGUCCGAUACUGACGCUGAGGUGCGAAAGCGUGGGGAGCAACAGG
rnacentral:rRNA from 1 species